AUAAAGUGACAUUCACGAAUACGACCGAACAUUCAUUAAUCGAAAUGAGUGUUUGGUUCAAUCAAUCGUGAUUAACAAAACUAAAAACACUAGUUUAUAUACGAAGAAUUGCUGACCUUCUGUUUUUUUCUAAAUCAAUGCGGUCGACCUUGUGUUGUCUCUAUUUGCUUAUAAAUGAUCAACGGCAAUAAUAAGACGUGCGCUUAAGUCUAUGGCUACCACUGAAGAUUCUUGUAAAACUCGUUCCAAGAUGUACAUAUCAUCAUUAAAGGAUCAAUCAGAAAACUCAAACGAGGGUCUAAGAAGAAAUUAGAAGAGACAAACGGAAGAGUAGGGCGAGUAUGCGACCAGGAUUGGCAGCACAAUGUUGAAUGAAGAUAAACAAAGAAUGAAACUUCAAUUAUUCUAGCAAGAAACAAAGGGAUAUUUCGAUUUUAUUUUUCACACGUCGAGCAUGGCUGCCGGGGAUUAAAUAAACAUUCCGGAAUUGUCAUCACGGGGCAUGUUUGCGGUUUCGUUCGACUUACAUAUUCAUGUAUGGAAAAAUUGUAUCCGGAAUAAUAUAUACAUGUAUAAAAGGA